ensembl:lncRNA
AGGAUUAGCGUUUUGUUUACGCUAAUUGUAGCCUCGGCUAUUUUGGUGUUCUCCUAGUCCGGUAGUAGUUAAGCGCUAUUUGGUGACUCUCUGGUGGUUAUAUCUGUAAACAGCAGAAUGUGCACAGAGGAACUGAAGUCACACAGAAAGAACUACAGAAGAGGAGUUUGCUGGACAACACGAGCAGAGCUACUGAGCCACGUUACCACGUAGGAGUAUUAACAAGGUGCCACUGGAGAGGUGAACAGCCCGGCUCUAAAUACUGCAGGGGUGGAUCAUGGAAUGUGGAUCAGCUGUGUAGGAAUGGAGCAGGAUGAACGGCCACGCCUCCUCACCUGCUUCCUCUAGACACGCCCCUUUUCUCUUCUGGUUGAUGCUUCAGCAAAACCAGAGCUACAAGACAAAGAGUUUGGCGGCUAAUCCGGUUGAUGCGCGUGAAUCAAACAUCGUGGACGUGAACUUCCUCGCUCGCGAGGUUAAUCUCUGCUCGCGCUCGAAGGUGUUGUUAUUGACAGCAAGGGGGCGGAGCCAGUCACCGGCAUCUCCACGUCUGAUUGGUUCCACUCUUCGUGCUUGGAUUGGCUGGAUUUCGUCCCCGUUGACCGUUGUGAAUCCCCAGAACUGAUGGAGCAGGAUGAACGGAUCGGAUUAACGGUACCUGAGGUGUGCAAGUGGUACAUGAAGACAGACAAUGUCCCUCUCUGUCUUCUUCACAAAUGGCUGUGGAAACCCCUCACCGUGUCCUCCGGCCUCAAACGUUGGAGCGUCUCCUGUCAAAACUGGAGCUCGCACUCAUUCCAACACACUCCAUAUGGAUUUCCUGCAGGAGGAAAAGACGACUUGUCAACAAGGCAAAAGUGAUGCUGAUCAGGAUGCUCGGCCUGCGCUUAGUGCUCCUAAUGGCCUUUGGCACGUUUCACUGCGCCCAAAGGAAAGCCACCAAUCAGAGCCUGGAGUCUCCAACACAGCUGUCAAUCACUGCCAGUGACACGCUGACAAUCAAACCGUCUGAUCUAAACGUCCUAUGAGCUGUUUCAGAGGCAUGUUUCAGCUACUGAUGAGCAGUAAAACAUGUUGGGACAGAAAGCAGUCGAGCCAGGACGUGUCUCCUUGUGGACGUGUAGAUUAUGUCUCGUGUUCUACAGUCAAGAGACAGUGAGACGUUUCAUUGAAGUCACUAAAUGUUGCUUUAAAGCCGUCAUCACAAAGACAUAGUUUCACUUUGUGUGUUUGUCUUGAAGGACACGCUACAUCCAGACGGAGGAAGAUGAAGCAGGUGGCGCGAUGCACCUGGUCACGUGACGCUGGUUGCGACCCGCCAGAACAAACCGGAAGAAGACGAAGAAGAAGAAGAAGAAGACGUGAGGGAGACGCGUAGAAAGUCACCAAGCUUCACUUUAACGUCUUAAAGUGUCACAUGGUGUGAGUAUGUCCCGUGACACACAGCGUGUGUUUACUGUGUGUUUGUGUGUUAACGGGCCGUCAACCUUUGCAAAGUUCCUUUACCGUUUAGACGAAAAAUACGGAAAUCAAACGAAAAUACGGAAAUAACACCGUUUUAUUUUAGUUUUUUCGCUUUAAACCAAAAGAGUAAAUGUCCUUUUCUGUCCAAAUCCAAACACGAAAAAACGACCGAUCUGUUUUUCUGUAAAUCCCUUUUUGUUUGUUCCUUUUAAAAGAAACCGAAGCGCAGCCGCUAAACCGGAAGUGCGCACAUUUUAACAGUAAAACGCAAUAGAACGUUUGUACGAUAGAAAUC